rnacentral:rRNA from 1 species
AUUGAACGCUGGCGGCAUGCCUUACACAUGCAAGUCGAACGGUAACAGGUCUUCGGAUGCUGACGAGUGGCGAACGGGUGAGUAAUACAUCGGAACGUGCCUAGUAGUGGGGGAUAACUACUCGAAAGAGUGGCUAAUACCGCAUGAGAUCUACGGAUGAAAGCAGGGGAUCGCAAGACCUUGUGCUACUAGAGCGGCCGAUGGCAGAUUAGGUAGUUGGUGGGGUAAAAGCUUACCAAGCCGAGGAUCUGUAGCUGGUCUGAGAGGACGAUCAGCAACACUGGGACUGGGACACGGCCCAGACUCCUACGGGAGGCAGCAGUGGGGAAUUUUGGACAAUGGGCGAAAGCCUGAUCCAGCAAUGCCGCGUGCAGGAUGAAGGCCUUCGGGUUGUAAACUGCUUUUGUACGGAACGAAAAGCCCCGGGUUAAUACCCUGGGGUCAUGACGGUACCGUAAGAAUAAGCACCGGCUAACUACGUGCCAGCCGCCGCCGUAA